GCCAGUCUGGUAAAUAUGACACUCGACUUGUAAUCGAGUGGGCUCGGGUUCGAUUCCCGAAUAAGGCA
rnacentral:tRNA from 1 species